UUCACACUCCAAAAGAGAACCACUUGAAGAAAGCCAUAAUUAACCCUAAGGAAUGCCACCAUCACCACGGGAUACCAGGCACCGGGCAUGCAGGCGGAAAGCAUAUUUUAGGGCAGUGACUCAUGAUUUUUAAUGGAUUAACCAAGAGCUAGAAAUGCAAGAUGGCUGGAAAUAAGUACCAGAAGAUUCAGCUAGAAGUAAGGAGGACCAAGGACUGACUCUCUGGUAGACUCAUGGUCCGUGAAUGGUGGAAAUGUGCACCAGAGUAAGAAGAAGAGAGGAAGUCAAGCCCAUAGACUUUGCAGAGGGGCCGAGAGGCCUGAGAAGUAAGAGAAGACCAGGAGAUGGGGGCUCCUGAAAAGGUAGACAAGAGCGGGGUGCCCGCCGCUUUUGCAGACAGCAGCUGUGCAAAACUUCAUUGGAAGAACCGAGGCCUGCUGCUUGCUCCAUUUGGGAGUGGGGGUGGGGCAC